ACUUGAAUAGUUUAAAAUAAAACACUAUAUUUUCAUUAUAGAGAUAAAAUAAGUUUUCUCAAGUU
rnacentral:tRNA from 1 species